CCCAAAACCAAAUUCAAUUGAAACAACCAUUCUCCGCCAUCAACAUUCACGAGAGGAACCUCUCACUUUUCAUUACCAAACUUUGAAGCAAAACCCACUAGCCCAGCAAUUCAAAACCCCAUCCAUAACUCCUUCCUGCCGGCGAUUCAACAAUUGGAAAAGGAAAAUCGCAAAUGACAAAAUCGCAAACGAUUCAGGCAGGAGCGCUGAUGCCUACUCCCACCUCUCGUCGUUGCUACUUGCUUCCAGUCCUCCACAGCCGCCCGACAGUAACAAUUGAAGCCCUAAACGAAGUGAUAAGAUGAAUUUUGAAUUCCCCGCUACUGACAAUGCAUGAUUGUGCGCCCACAUUUCGCAAAAAGCAUUUUCAAGUACCUAAAAAUCGUUAUGGAGUAUUUUAAUGGUUGAUAGUGGGAAGAUUUUUGCAACUCAUGCCUUGGGUUCUUGGCCGAGGUUCCAAACAUAAAAUUCUUAGCCCAAUUAAUUCAACAAAUAGUGUUCAGGUCCAUCCGAACUGAUAAGGCAAACGAAUAGUGGUUCAAUAUACAAGGGCACUUGAUUAGGUUCAAACUGCAAAAGUACGCGAUCGUGAAAGGAUUAAAAUGUGGUCUCAUUCUGGAAGGCGAUCAAUUUACUUGAUUGAUAGAAAAAAGGAGGCUCAAGGACAAAUAUUUCAAAUCGAUGGAGAAUAUUUCUUGUGCCAAACUCGAGAAGACUUUUCGUCGAUCGUUGAUGCUUCAAGCUGAUCGAUACAAGCUCAACCUUGCUCUAAUUGUCGAAGCAAUAUUUAACGCUCCAGAUAAUAAUAUGGUUCUUAAUACUGACACAUUGUCAAUCGUCGACCACCUCAACAUAUAUUUUGACUACCCUUGGGAUAGAGUGGGAUAUAAUUGUCUAUUGAGGGGAUUUAGGGGUAGUUGGGUAAGAAAAUUUCACGAGACUAAGAGAAAGAAGGAGAAGAAGAUUAGUUAUACAAUCCACGGCUUUUCCAUACUAUGCAUGUAUGAAUAAUUAUUUCAGAUGACUUUUCAUUAUUUUAAUACAAAUAUAUUGUUAUGUCUAUGGAAAAUCUUGUUACAAUUGCAUUUUUUUAGACAGAUGUGGGCAUUAAAGGUAGUACCUGAAAUUGGUGAAUGGUUUAGUUAGAGACCUGGUCAACAAUCGCCACGACUUCUUAGCUGGACGUCUAUAAAGCAACCGUAGCAACGUAUACAAUACAUUCUCAUUGUGUUGAAUGCAUGCAAUCUUUUCAUUUGCGUUGAAUGCAUGCAACCUUUUUAUUUGGAAACUGUAUACAAUACAUUCUCAUUGACACUCAAUUUAUGUUUUCACAGCUACAUGUGCAUACAACAUUGCGUCGCAUUGACGACGAGCAUACUCAAUCAUAUAUCUUCAUGCUUAUGCCGUUUGAAGAUCGUACUAUCCCUGCUUUGGACAACAUUGUUAGGAAUAUUAUCGUUCUACUGUUUCACACAAAGCACGUGGGCAGUGAAAGUAAUGAUGAAUCGUCUAUGGGGAAGGUAGCUGAAAAAAAAGACCAAAAAAAGAGGCUUGACGGAUGUGACGUCUAGUGGUGAUGACAAAUCAGGUGAAAAUAGUGAUCAUGACAAGUCAACUGAUGAUGACAGUGAAACUGGCAAAGGUGACAGUGGAGCUAGCAAUGGUAAACAUUCUUUUGGAGGGUAUACGAGUCAAUUUUCACGCCUUGCGUGCCCAAAUAUACUUUUUACGUGUAGCAUUGUUGACAUCGGACGACAAGCUACAACUUCUGGAGCAACUUGAACAAGAGCAAAAGUUGGGGAAUUGUUAUUGGAUCAAUGAAUCCUCAUUGAAAUGCAACUUCGGACCGUGAAACUUGAAAUCAAUUAGCAUAUGACCUCUGAAUUUGCAAGACCUAGGGAGUUCAUAUCCACACGUGACCCAAUCCAAUUCUAUCACCCCUACAACUACGAUAGAUGUCGACAAUGAGCCCAGAGUUACUGCAAAUUACAGCAAGGUAUGAGUGUUAAUUGUUUAAAAGUUCAUAUGGUAAAACAAUGUUGGAUACCGUCAUAGACACCAGCACGAUUCCGACGUUACUGACAUGGUCCUACCUAAUGGCGACGUCACUGAUUGUUGGUGGUGGCUAUCAUACCCAUCGAAGGCAACGAUGUGGUUAACACAAAAAGACGAUGAUCGACACGCGUUCGAGUUCUUGUAGCAUCUACCAGGACUCCAUACACUAGGGAGAGGAGAAAGAGAAUAAAGAAAUAAAUGAGUCACUGUUUAUUAGUACUAUGCUUGAAUCAAUGUAAUUUAAUACUAUCAAUCCCAUAUUUGAUUUAUAGUUUAUGGUUUACGGUUAUCUUUGUAAGGCAAAGUGAUCUCAUGUUAAGUAAGUUGUAUAUCUACACUCAAUUUUGUGAUUGGAUUGAAUCUCUUGUUCUA